UACGUAGGGUGCAAGCGUUGUCCGGAAUUAUUGGGCGUAAAGAGCGUGUAGGCGGCCCGAUUAGUCCGCUGUGAAAGUCCAGGGCUCAACCCUGGAAUGCCGGUGGAUACUGUCGGGCUAGAGUCCGGAAGGGGCGAGUGGAAUUCCUGGUGUAGCGGUGAAAUGCGCAGAUAUCAGGAGGAACACCAAUGGCGAAGGCAGCUCGCUGAGACGUGACUGACGCUGAGACGCGAAAGCGUGGGGAGCAAACAGG
rnacentral:rRNA from 1 species